UUUCAGGGAUCAUUUCUAUAGUGUGUUACUAGAGAAGUUUCUCUGAACGUGUAGAGCACCGAAAACCACGAGGAAGAGAGGUAGCGUUUUCUCCUGAGCGUGAAGCCGGCUUUCUGGCGUUGCUUGGCUGCAACUGCCGUCAGCCAUUGAUGAUCGUUCUUCUCUCCGUAUUGGGGAGUGAGAGGGAGAGAACGCGGUCUGAGUGGUUUUUCCUUCUUGAUGGCUCAAUGACAGAGACUAGCUCGUAAACUCCGGGCCGUUUCCGGGCUGUUCGCUCCUGCUUGGCAAUGUCGCGAGAAAGAAAGGUUUUCGCCUCCUGUUUCAGCGGUGACGGCUCUUGGGUUUUCUCGGGGUGGCUUUUUAAUUUUAGUCUUGGCGCGAGGCGGGGGAUGCUGUGUGGCACCUCCUAUUGUCUCUUUUUGCGUUUUCUCCCAUUCUCGCUCCCUCUUUUGUCGCCGUUUCCCGCCCGCCACUCCCACCCCCAGACGGGGUCUCCGGGUCUCUUGUUCUGUCUGCCGCCCCGGCUGGAGUGCAGUGGCGCGAUCUCGGCUCCUAGCAACAUCUGCCUCCCGGGCUCAAGCGAGUCUCCCGCCUAAGCCCUCCCGAGUAGCCGGGGCUUAAAGGCGCACACGCCACUCCAGGCUUUUUUUU
rnacentral:lncRNA from 1 species